rnacentral:rRNA from 1 species
GGUUAAGCGACUAAGCGUACACGGUGGAUGCCCUGGCAGUCAGAGGCGAUGAAGGACGUGCUAAUCUGCGAAAAGCGCCGGCGAGGUGAUAUGAACCCUUGACCCGGCGAUGUCCGAAUGGGGAAACCCAGUGUGUUCCGACACACUAUCGUUAACUGAAUACAUAGGUUAACGAGGCGAACCGGGGGAACUGAAACAUCUAAGUACCCCGAGGAAAAGAAAUCAACCGAGAUUCCCCCAGUAGCGGCGAGCGAACGGGGAGCAGCCCGGAGUCUGAAUCAGCUUGUGUGUUAGUGGAACGGUCUGGAAAGUCCGACGGUACAGGGUGAUAGUCCCGUACACGAAAACACACAUGCUGUGAACUCGAAGAGUAGGGCGGGACACGUGGUAUCCUGUCUGAAUAUGGGGGGACCAUCCUCCAAGGCUAAAUACU